AGUGAACGCUGGCGGUAGGCCUAACACAUGCAAGUCGAACGGCAGCACAGUAAGAGCUUGCUCUUACGGGUGGCGAGUGGCGGACGGGUGAGGAAUACAUCGGAAUCUACUUUUUCGUGGGGGAUAACGUAGGGAAACUUACGCUAAUACCGCAUACGACCUACGGGUGAAAGCAGGGGAUCUUCGGACCUUGCGCGAUUGAAUGAGCCGAUGUCGGAUUAGCUAGUUGGCGGGGUAAAGGCCCACCAAGGCGACGAUCCGUAGCUGGUCUGAGAGGAUGAUCAGCCACACUGGAACUGAGACACGGUCCAGACUCCUACGGGAGGCAGCAGUGGGGAAUAUUGGACAAUGGGCGCAAGACUGAUCCAGCCAUACCGCGUGGGUGAAGAGGGCCUUCGGGUUGUAAAGCCCUUUUGUUGGGAAAGAAAAGCAGCAGGUUAAUACCCCGCUGUUCUGACGGUACCCAAAGAAUAAGCACCGGCUAACUUCGUG
rnacentral:rRNA from 1 species